AGUGGACUGCCCUGGGUGGGAAGGAAACGGGUCAGAGACAAAGGUCUCUGGCUGUCGGAGGCCAAGGCUCCAGAUCCCUCAUCCCUACCUCCCUAGUCUUGGCGCGCCUCCCUCAGUUUCCCCAAUUCCAAGGAGGCGCGGUCCCUCCGAGGAGGGAGGCGUGGUUCCCGGGGGCGGGGCAGCGGCGUCCACACCCCCCAGUCCCGCGGCCCGCGCGCCCAUGGGAGAAUGGAUAAAGGGGUGGGUGGGGGGAAAACCAGAGGAUUGCAACUCUGGGGUGGCCCCUGGUUGCAGGCUCUCCUCACCCGCCUCGCUCUAGCCUGGGCCGCGCUGCUGUCCUGAGUGCUUACCAGGCUGAUGGAGGUUUCUAGGGAGCCUCACAUACACUGAACAGAUACACCCUGGAUGAAUCUGUGACGAGGGGAGUCCUCACCCCUCAUCCAUGAAAGUUCUCUUGGAAGCAGACAUACAAUCACAGAAAGCCACCACCCAUCAACAUGUAGACUUGUGGAGCCCACUCCUGACAGAUACGACUACAGUUCGGCUCCUGUGCCUGAGGCCCAGGGGUCAUCGAGGAAGAGGGGUGGAAAGACUGCAGAAGCCAGAGAAACCGAGAGCUUUCGACGAGACUGCGUUUUCUAGGAAUGUCAGACACUUCUUCCUUCCGUUAAAGUCUCCCCAACAUGACCACCAAACACGAGCUGGACAAAGACAA
rnacentral:sRNA from 1 species